rnacentral:lncRNA from 1 species
GUUUGUUACAGCUUGAGCUGAGCUUUCACUCGCCAUCUACCACUGCUGUUUGCCGCCAUCACAGACCCGCUGCUGACUUUCACCCCUCCGGAUCUGGCAGGGUGUCUGCUGUGCUCCUGAUCCAGUGAGGCGCCCAUUGCCACCCCGGAUUGGGCUAAAGACUUGCCAUUGUUCCUGCACGGCUAAGUGCCCGGGUUCAUCCUAAUCGAGCUGAACACUAGUUGCUGGGUUCCACGGUUAUCUUCCGUGACCCACAGCGUCUAAGAGAGCUAUAACACUGCAUGGCCCAGAUUCCAUUCCUUGGAAUCCGUGAGGCCAAACCCCAGGUCAGAGAACAAGAGGCUUGCUGCCAUCUUGAGAGCGGCUGCCACCAUCUUGGGAGCUCUAAGAACAAGCCCCCACCCCAACCGGUAACAUUUUGGCGACCAUGAAGGGACCUCCAAAGCAGCAAUGAAGAAAAAACAGAACAUAACUGUCAACAAGUAAUUGCUCAAACCUGCACCGCUCAAGGAGAUCUUCUAGAGGUUCCCUUGACUGAUCCCGAC